rnacentral:rRNA from 1 species
GACGAACGCUGGCGGCGUGCCUAAUACAUGCAAGUCGAGCGAACAUUUGAGAGCUUGCUCUCAAAUGUUAGCGGCGGACGGGUGAGGAACACAUCGGAAUCUGCCUGGUUGUGGGGGAUAACGUAGGGAAACUUACGCUAAUACCGCAUGCGACCCUGAGUCGACGGACUGGGGGUGAAAGUGAGGGACCUUCGGCCUCACGCGACCAGAUGAGCCGAUGUCGGAUAGUCUAGUUGGCGGGGGUAACGGCCCGCCAAGGCGACGAUCCGUAGCUGGUCUGAGAGGAUGAUCAGCCACACUGGGACUGAGACACGGCCCAGACUCCUACGGGAGGCAGCAGUGGGGAAUCUUGGACAAUGGGCGCAAGCCUGAUCCAGCCAUGCCGCGUGGGUGAAGAAGGCC